UCUUAUCUCGCUCCUCCAGAAUAAUCUGGUCUUCGUGCUGUAAGUGAGCCAAAUGUUAAUAGUAGUGACAUCCAUAGGAUAAUAGCGGAAGCUAGUCCUGCUAGAGUUUAUAUUUCUUAAAAUUUGUCCUGUUGCUACCUGGUGUCGUCCCUUUCUGUCUCGAACUUCCAAUACGAGCGGACGUCACCAAGCAGCACAGCAAGUCACACCAAAGGGUGUCGUACAAAGAUAGAAAGGGCUUUUAUUUAAAUCACUAUAUGGAAUUAUUGACGGGACUGGUACAUAGAAGUAAAAGGAAUAACGGAGAUAUUUGGCAAUCGAUGUGAUCGCAUACAUCCCUGAUAAUUUGAACAUCAACCAGUAAAAAGGAAUAUCGCAAACAAUUCCUCCAUAAUUUUAUCAACGGCUACGAAGUACAUCAUGUUUUCGGAACAACGUACAGCUAAGCGAUAUUAUUUAUUUUAGUUUGGUUUCUGUAAUUUGUAAUGUAAGUGUGGGUCAUGAGUGUUAUGGAAUGGGUCAUGAAUGUUAUAUCUUAAAGUCGUCUUAUUUAAUCAAAUAUGUUCUUUUUGAAUUCAUUUGUGAUUGUGUGUUCAUUUAUAUUUUUUGAAUUGUGUUAAUUUGGACAUAAAUUAAUUCAACUAAUAACUUUUUUAUUUUUUGUAUUUAAAGACAAUAAUUUCUUUGGAUGUUCUUCUCUCAAUUAAUAAAUAUAAAUACAUAAGGAAUUAUUAUAGUGCAUACGCUUUACGCAUCUUCAUCGCCCCUUAUUCCCUCAGUCCUUACCAUCUCUGUUUUUCACUCUUUCUUUU